rnacentral:rRNA from 1 species
GAUGAACGCUGGCGGCGUGCCUAAUACAUGCAAGUCGAGCGAACGGACGAGAAGCUUGCUUCUCUGAUGUUAGCGGCGGACGGGUGAGUAACACGUGGAUAACCUACCUAUCAGACUGGGAUAACUUCGGGAAACCGUAGCUAAUACCGGAUAAUAUUUUGAACCGCAUUGUUCAAAAGUGAAAGACGGUCUUGCUGUCACUUAUAGAUGGAUCCGCGCUGCAUUAGCUAGUUGGUAAGGUAACGGCUUACCAAGGCAACGAUGCAUAGCCGACCUGAGAGGGUGAUCGGCCACACUGGAACUGAGACACGGUCCAGACUCCUACGGGAGGCAGCAGUAGGGAAUCGUCCGCAAUGGGCGAAAGCCUGACGGAGCAACGCCGCGUGAGUGAUGAAGGUCUUCGGAUCGUAAAACUCUGUUAUUAGGGAAGAACAUAUGUGUAAGUAACUGUGCACAUCUUGACGGUACCUAAUCAGAAAGCCACGGCUAACUACGUG